UUUUUUUUUUUUUUUGGUUUUGCUUGCUCAUUCAGCACAGUCCCAGUUUUGGAGCCCUUGGUUUUGUGAGUCGGUAUCUGAUGCCAUGAGAAGUGCUUAUGUGGAGGAGGGUUGCCUACGAGAAAGCAAGAUAUAUUGAAGAUAAUGAUCCUACUUCUGGAUGGGAGAUAACAGCGAGACAAACACACAGCUCUUGACUUGCAUGAGAAGCUGCAGAGAGGACCAUGUAUGAAGACAGAGCAGUGUCACGACUGCUGUUUCAUGCUGCAUAAUAGACUUUAUCAGUCAGCCCCAGAAACCAAUCUUCUUCCAGUCUCCAGCACAGUCAUCAUCAAUCACACCUGAAUCAGCAAUAUUCUGCAAGAUAGUGGAUCCACUUGAACAUUUCACAGCCUUAUGCCAGAUUAAACCAUAUUUAGAAGUCACUGAAUUCCUGAUGUUUUUAGAGGAAAAUAUCCCUGGGAGGAAAACCCUCUGAGAUUUCAUUGAAGUAAUCUACACUCUGAAGUGAUGGGAGCAGAAGGCAGAUCGAGAUUGUGUUGCAACUAUGGAGUAAGAUCUAUAUUUAUAGUGUGAAGAGAAUUUGUACAGAAGCCACAGUUGUCUCUCUGCCUGGCGUGACAUAUCUGUUCUGCAAUAAUGUUGUGUAACCUUCUGAAGAGCAACCUCCACUUUCUUGUGAAGAAGGAGCUAUCUCUUUGAAAUACUGUUGUGGCAGCCAUCAAAAAGGUGCGAUAUGAAAUGUUUAUUCACAGACAGAUCCCAGUUAUUAACUGAAACGAAACAUAUGUGAU
rnacentral:lncRNA from 1 species